CGCGUGAGGAACCUGCCUUCCAGGAGGGGACAACAGUUGGAAACGACUGCUAAUACCGCAUGAUGCAUUUGAAUCGCAUGGUUUGAAUGUCAAAGAUUUAUCGCUGGAAGAUGGCCUCGCGUCUGAUUAGCUAGUUGGUGAGGUAACGGCCCACCAAGGCGACGAUCAGUAGCCGGACUGAGAGGUUGGCCGGCCACAUUGGGACUGAGAUACGGCCCAGACUCCUACGGGAGGCAGCAG
rnacentral:rRNA from 1 species